rnacentral:rRNA from 1 species
CACGUAGGGUGCGAGCGUUGUCCGGAAUCAUUGGGCGUAAAGAGCUCGUAGGCGGUUCGGCAAGUCGGAUGUGAAAUCUCCACGCUCAACGUGGAGGGGGCCAUUCGAAACUGCCGUGACUCGAGUCCGGUAGGGGAGUGCGGAAUUCCCGGUGUAGUGGUGAAAUGCGUAGAUAUCGGGAGGAACACCAGUGGCGAAGGCGACUUCCUGGCCUGUUCUUGACGCUGAGGCGCGAAAGCUAGGGGAGCAAACGGG